AAGAGGGCCCACCCUCCAUUACACCUGUGCUCCACCGUGGCCCCCAGCCAAGUUUAAUCUCCCAUUCGGCACUUACUUCUGGAAGCUUCUUUCCCUUUCCUUCCCACCACUCAUUGGCCUUUCACCCCCUAGUUUUUUGUCUGUGUAUGGGACUGUCUUCCCCCACUCCCCCUUGACUGAAGUUCCUUGAGAGCAGCAGCCCUCUUUUUAUCAGGGAAGAGAUUUGAAGCUCAGGACAUUCUUAUCCAAGUAGAUGCUAGCCACCUGGGUAGUCAAGACAGGGCCCUGCACAGUUAAUGUGAAUCUUGUCAUAAUGCCAGGGUUAUUGUUUUGCAAGGAGCUGGUCAUAGAACACUAGAUUGCAUUGUCACUGGGAAAUAAGCUCAUUCUAUUAGCUUGUUUCUCAGCUAGCUUAUGUAGAAAUUUGCCACAGUUGUUACUGCUGGGCACCUGCCCUGGAUCUGAUCAUCAAUUAUAUCAUCUCUUCCAUCUGAUGGACUGCACCUCACCCCUUGCUUUUUCAGAGCUGGCGAAGCUGGGCCAAGGAAAGCGAUAGUGCCAGCUGAGUGGAAUGUGCAGGAAGGGACCGAGGAGGGGCACUAUGUACUGGAGAAAAGAGAUGGGGUCUCCAGGACAGGGGUGAGGACACUAGACUGAGGGCACAAAGGAAGGAAACCACAAGGAAGUAGAGUAGGGAAGUGGGGAGCAUGCUGAGGAGAGAGGUCAAGAGAUGGUGACCGCUUUCUGCAUGCCCCAAGGAGAUGGUGAUGACACUCCCAAGUCCAUGUGGGAAUCCCUCCUUAUGCGGGCCUCAGUCUGUCAUCUUCCUUGGAGCAGGACCAAAGUAAAUAAGAUAAAGUCACAAUUUCUCAUCCUUCUUCACUCAACUUUUCUUUGAGGAGAGAAUACAGCAGUUUCAAGGACAAGGGAUUCGUACCACUGCUCCUCACUCAGUAAAUAGCAGAGACAGAAUUUGAAUCUCUGCUGCUUUGCACAAGUCUCCUUUCCUAAGAUCCCACUUCUCAUCUGUUCAAUGGGGAUAUGAACAUCUACAAGUUUAUGGGCUGAUAUCACAAGUAGUAGAUAAAUUGAAAGAAAGGAAUCCCAAAAGAAGAAAAAGACUGUGUUCUGCUCCUCACUUAAAACUCAGUAAAAGGGACCCCCACCAAGUGGUCCAUGCCAAUAUGUAACACAGAAAGGAAAACCAACAGCAUGGGCCUCUUGGCUUGGAGGAAGCCAAAGUGCACAUUUCUUCAGUCAUACUACAUCUGGGUUCAUCUAGCCACCUCUGCCAUGCUGCCCAAGUUCAACCCCAAUGAGAUCAGUCAUAUACCUGCCAGGUGCCCUGGUGGAAAACUGGGUACCAUGUCUGCCCUAGCCCUUAAGAUCAACCCUCUGGACCUGUCUCCAAAAUAAGUUGGUGAUGACAUUCCCAAGGCCACAGGUCACCAGAAGAGUCAAAGGAUUACAAUGAAACUGACCAUUCAGAACAGACAGGCUCAGACUGAGGUGGUACUUUCUGCCUCUGCCGUGAGCAUCAAAGCCCUCAAGGAACCAGAGACAGAAAGAAGCAAAACAAUCAAGCACAGUGGAAAUGCCAUUUUUCAUGACACUGUCAAGAUUGCAUGACAGAUGCAGCACCAAUCCUUAGUCACGGAACUCUCUGGGACCCGUAAAGAGAUCUUGGAGACUGCCCAGUCUAUGAGCUCCAAUGUUGAUGGGCGCCAGCCUCCAGACAUCAUAGAUGACAUCAAAUCAACAGUGGUGCAAGUAAAUAUCCAGCUAGCUAUGAGCUACGAAGGAAAAAAUUUCAAUAAAGGAUCAUUUGACAACUAAAAAUAAAAACACAGCAUGGUUAUGACAUAGGGUCUGCAUGAGUGCCUUUGUGCCUCCUUGAAAAAGCCAGUUUCCCCAUGCACAGAUGUCAGUAGUACAAGUCAACCAGGUAUCCAGAGACAUUGCUAAAAAAUGUCAAUACCAAAUCUAAUCACAGCAUAAGGACCAGUGUAUACAAAUCUAAAGCCCACUUUCUCCUGCUCACUCCUAAAGCUCACUUUCUCACAACACUGCCACCCCAAUAUACCAAGAAACCAUCUAGAAAGGAGGGCAGACAAUAGCCACUUACCUUUAAAAACAAAACCAAACUCUUUACACCAAAACUUCUUCCAUAUCCAAAGAGUCUAAAAUACAGUUAGUGAUGAAUGUGGAUGUGGAGCCAAUGAGUAAGAUUUGAUCAGUUACAGAAAACAAGUGAAGCCACAUUUACUUUGCACAACCAAAUGUAGUUUGCUAAGUUUUUGACCCCAUUAUAUGAAGAAGACAAAUCAUCCAUAACUCUACCACGCUAAACAUCCAUUACUUUUUUUUUUUUUUUUUUGAGAGUUUCGCUUUGUGGUCCAGCCUGGGGCACAGUGGUGCAAUCUUGGCUCACUGCAACCUUCGCCUCCUGGGUUUAAGCAAUUCUCAUGUUCAGCCUCCUGAGUAGCUGGGAUUACAGCCACCCAUAGAUUUUUAAAAUACUUCUCUUUCACUUGUCUUGCAUAGGCAUGAUUAUUGCAAAUAACUGCAAUGCAUAUCAGUCACAGUUUUAUAUCAUGCUCUUUGUAAAAUUCAUCAAAAUUCCUUUUCCAUGCUGCUGUGUGUUCUUCCUGGUUACCAAUGUUAACAGACACAUAAGCUAUUAGUCAAAACUCUUGUCAUUGCAAGUAUCAUAAAGCCAAUUCCAACUCAACUGAAGAAAAUGGGUAUUUAAUGGAAGAACACUGGAGUUGCUCAUUGACCUACAAGAACCACGCAGCCCUGGGGGCCUAAAUGCAGGGGACAGGGGCUUGAAGUCACCAGAGUUCUUCACUGCUCAUUCUUCCUACAGACAUCUCCACAUAAAUGUAUUAGGCAUUUAGCCAUGUUAGGUCAUUUUCAUUAGCCACAUUUUCCAAAUGGGGAAGGAGGGACUAAGGGAGUUACAUGACUCACUGCAGGUGAUUCAGCUGCUAAAUGGCAUUGAUUUGAAAACCAGCAUCUUGAUUCAGAUUGGUGGAUCCAUACAAAUUGCAAGGGACAAAACUUUUCAAAAAUAUGUAAGAAGAGUCACAUAGGAUAAGAAUAUAUUUGAUUUUUGUGAGGACUACAGCUGAAGGAGAAGAGAAACAUGCAAAUGGGCUUCCAUUUCCCACACUAGGGCAGCUUCUGUCAUCUCAGAAUGCCCACCUGGCAUCUUCCUGACCCUUGGCUCGCCCACAAGGAAGUUCAUGGCAAUAUUGUUUUCAGAAGCCAAUAUUCUCCUGUCUCUACUUGCAAGAAAAUAACUGGGCCCCCCAGUAAGUAUAAUUGGUGCGAACAGUGAUUUAUUAUACGCCCAGUUCUGCAGAUGGCCUUUCAUAUGGAAAUGAUUUUUCCUGAAAACAGAAAAAUAUGGGUUUUUUCCCUUCUCAGCAGGUUAUAACAGGUUUACAAUCCACUGCAUCAAAACUAGCAUCAAAAACUUUAACGGAGUUCCCUUAAAACAGAAACACAAAAAACACGUUCCAUCUGGUAAAUAAUUGCCGGAGUUGCAUUCCUGUGCAUUCAGGCACAAGCUAACUGCUGUACAGCAUAAAGCUGUGAAAAUGUCUAGGCUUAAUGGGGAAACAUGAGAUAAGAUCUACUUAGGUCUAUCAUAUACUCAAAUUGCAACCUUCUGGGAUGCUGGUUCAUGCCAGACUCAAAUCACCCAUAAUCUGAUGAGCUAGACAGAUGUGUAAGAUUAUUCCAGGAUAUCUGAAAAUCUCACAUGUGAGUACAAAAGGCUAGGUGGACACGUGCAGCCCUUAUUCUAUGUGAAUGAAGGGGAAUGUUUACCAAGAAGGUCAUUUUCAGAUGACCAUAGUUGAAGAACAAAGUCAAAUGUGGUUCUAAGUGACAUGUCCUCUGCCUAAAUAACAGAUGAGAAAGUAUAUCUAAAAAGGCUUAUAUCAUCCUGUGAUGGAAUACUUAAGAAUGGGGAAAGCAUUUAGCAGUAAAAAGUAAGUUACCAAAAGGAUUUAAUGUAGUUAGUAUGUAGCAGGUUAAUUUCAGUAGAUGACUCUAAGUUAUGAUUUUCAUCCAGAAAGAAUUAUUUUAGUCAGCUUUCCACCAGUGGAACAUACUUCCUCCUAAGCUCCCUGCCUCUGAAAGCAUAGGCAGGGGAGCCAUGUAUUACAGAUGUUGUGGGGAAGAUCUACACAUUUGGAAAGCUGAAGAUCUGCAAAUUAGGGAUGACACUCAAAUUCCUUAAGGGGUUGGGCAGAUAAAUUGUGUAAAAUGGUAAGGCAUUAGAAAGUGGACCAAACUGCAGAGGACUGGAGAGGCACAGCCCACCUAAAGACAUUCAAAUUUGAUACAGAUGCUUCUUGGCUUACCAUGGGGCUACUGUGUCCCAAUAAACCCAUCUAAGUAAAAAAAUGCAUUUAGUACACCUAACCUAUCAAACAUCACAGCCUAGCCUAGCCUACCUUACACAUGCUCAGAACACUUACAUUAGCCUACAAUUGGGCUACAUCAUCUAACACAAUGCCUAUUUUAUAAUAAAGUGUAGAAUAUCUCAUGUAAUUUAUUGAAUACUGGACUGGAAGUGAAAAACAGAAUUAUUACACGGUACUUGAAGUAUAGUUUCUGCUGAAUGUGUAUGGCUUUCACGCUAUCAUAAAGUUGAGUAAUGAUAAGUCAAACCAUUGUUAAGUUGGAGACUAUCUGUAUUUAAAAACAAAACAAAACAAAACAAAACCCAAAAACAAAAAUAGACUGGUCUGGCCAAAUAGACCACUUUGGAAGGAUUUGGCCUAUGGAUCAAGAGGAUAUUUGCCGCUCCUGGACUAGCAAAUCCUUAAGCCUUCUUUGCCUGCUGAGUUCUGUGAUGUGUAUAAAAAUAAUGCACUUUUAUCUAAUAAGAGCCAAACACAUUAACCUCUGUGGUAGGAGAAAGUGGAGUUGAACAGAAGUAUUGAAUGUGGUCUCCAUCCUCAGAAAACUCAAAAAUACUUUAAAAUAAGAUACGUCCAUACAAAGACAGCCAACAGUGGCGGGCAAAAAGCUUAUGACGGCUCAUUAGGAAGCAUUUCUAACUUUGAUCUAGAUGGGUUCAGAAAGAGCCACAGAAUAGGCAAGGCUUGAGUGGGGCUUAAAAGAACAAAUAGGUCUGACAUAGUGGCUCACACCUCGAUCUCUACUCGGGAGCAUCAUUUGAGCCCAGGAGGUUGAGGCUGCAGUGAGCUAUGAUCACACCACUGCACUCCAGCCUGGGUGACAAAGCAAGACCCUGUCUCUAAAAAAAAAAAAAUAAAGGAUGAACAUUCAGCUAAAUGGAGAGUGUAUAGGAGGAUAGAGUUGUUAGGUAGUAAUAGGACAAACAAGAAGCCCAGGGGCGAGGAGGAGGGUCAUGCUUGGAUCCUUCUGAACCUCUCAACUUCUUCCUCAGAUCCUAAAAUUGGCUUCCUGUCACCUAUUCUGUUCUGAGCCUCCUCCUCAGCCUCUGGACCUCUCCCUUCUUAUGAACUAAAAGGUUUCUUAGGGUCACAGUUCCCACAGCUGGGCCCUACCACCUGCAGUCAGAGCCCUUAGCGCUCCCCUUGUAUUCGCCUGGUCCAUAUCCCAGCCUCACUGCCUGUUUGCAGACUUGUCAACACAGUCAUUGGGCUACCUCUUGGACAAUCACCCUUGAUGCUAAAUCACCCAAGCAAAUUAAUUGAAUUUUCAAGUGACGAGGGUAAUCCUAAGCACUUAAUGGUCAGAAGUGAGGGGGCACAAACUAUUUUUGGAUUCGAAUUUGUCUUUAUUAUGUGGUGUACACCUUUGUUGGGGUACUAAGUGCCAUCAGUAAAUAGCUAGCAGCAAUUGGUGGCUUACAACAUGCCAGAAUCUGUGCUGAGCCCAGUGCAUGCAUGCCCUCCCUUGCCAACUCAACCUCCAAAAUGGGGCACAAUAUUUUCCCCUCUCUCGAGAUGGGUAAACUGAGGCUCAGGGGUUAAAUAACACAUGCAAAGUCAUACAACUAACAGGGGCAUGGAUUCAAACCCAAGUCUUCUGUCUCCAAAAACUGACUACAAUCACAUGUGGUUGACGGUUAUCACUGCAUGUGAUUGUACCAUUCAUAUGGAUGUGUAAAUGCACACUCAAUGGCACAGAAUCACCUGCUGGCCUAUCAUCGGAUGUAAGCAGCUGCCAUCUCCCAAACAAUACACUCAUUUGAUGUAUGAAUUUGUAUCGCUGACUCUUCAGACACAGUAGUCCUCCCUUAUCCAAGGUCCAAAUAUAUGAAACAGAAAAUUCCAGAAAUAAACAAUUCAUAAAUUUCAAGUUGUCCGUGUUCUGAAUAGCAUGAUGAAAUCUUAGCCAUCCUGCUCUGCCUGCCGGGGUGUGAAUCAUCUUUUUGUCCAGCGUAUUCACACUAUAGAGGCUCCCUGCCUGUUAAUCACAUAGUAGAUCUGUUGGUUAUCAGGUCAACUGUCGCAGCAUCACAGUGCUUGCGUCCAAGUAACCCUUAUUUUACUUAAUAAUGGCCCAAAGAGUAAUGAGGUCAGAAUAUUGUUUUAUUAUAUUAUAAGUUGUUAUCCUUUAUUGUACCAAAUUUAUAAGUGAAACUUUAUCAUAGAUAUGUAUGUAUAGGAAAAAAAAAUAGUAUAUAGAGGGUUCAGUACAAUCCAUGGUUUUGGGCAUCCUCUGGGGUCUUGGAACAUACCCCCUGUGGAUUAGAGGGGAGUAUGAUAAUGCAGCAUUCUCACCACAUUUGAAUCAUCUGGGGGCACUAAUAAAAAAGCACUGAUGCCUUAGCUUCAAUCCCCAGAGAUUUAGAUUGAAUUGGUUUUGGUUUGAAUCAAACAUUGGAAUGCUAGAGGAGCUUCCCAGAUGAUCCUAAUGUGUAGAGAACAUAGGCAGUGAAUAGUGGCUAGGAGUGAGGGCUUGGGGUCUGAUUUCUGUUAUCAUAGGCCAGCUAUGACACACCUAUGAGUCUUAGUUUUCUCAUCUAUAAAAUGGGAACUACAGAACUGUGUACUUUAUAGCACUGAUGCAAGGGUUAAGUUAGAUGGAAACAAUGGAAUGCAAAAAUGGUAAGGUUCCUGGUGCCAUCCCUAAAAGCCUCAUUGAUCCAUAAUGAAAUGGAAGUUUAUAGUCUCUUAGGCAAACACCCAUUGGUUACAUGAGAAAAUGUAUUCUCCUGGCUUUCUACUCAGACUUUCUGACACCUCAGGGUAGAGGAGAGGGCUGGACAGGCACUCUUGACAACCUGCUAGCUCUUUCAGAGAUGUAAAUGCAAAGGCCUUUCAGAGCUAGACAGCUGACAUACAGAUGUGAAGUAACUGGGAUAAGCUAUCAGGGCUAUUUAAAAAAAGGGAGACAGAGCGAGCAGGUAUGAUUUGAAGAGAAGAUACCCCAUAAAAGGCCUUAAAGUUCAUUAAAAAUAAUAAUUACUACCAACAAAGUGCUAGCCAAACAAAUCCGUCUGUCCCCACAUGCAGCAGGUAGGGUGCCAGUUUGCACCAUGAGUAGUUCACACCUUCAGCUUUAGAGAUUCAGGUCAGUGGCUCCUCCCUGCUUCUGCACUUGUGAGCUGAGGGCAGCUACUUCCCCUUCCAUUGGAAGCCAGGGGGUUUCAAGGACGUGUCGGUGACUAUGAAGGGGCUUGCAGAUGACAGCCAGAUUUGUUAAAGGCAGACAAGCAGUUAUUUGUUUAAAAGUUCCCACCUUACAGAGGGCCCAUCUCUGUUUCAGGCUAGCUGUGUGGCCUUACCUAACUUCUCUGAACCAUUGCUCACAUGUAAAACAUGGAAAAAAUUAUCCACUUCUCAGGGAUGUUGUGAAGAUUAAAAGAACAAGAGAUGUAGAGUGCUCAGCACAGUGCCUCUGCUCUGGGAAGCACUCCAGAUGUGUCUGCUUUUGUUGUGAUUUUGCCAUUCUUCAACAAAGUUAAAAGAGCCUCAAGCACUGUAAGCAUUGUUUCUCCCCUUGCCCUGGAAAAUUAUUUAAAUGACAUGGUUCAUUCUAAUACAUUAUCUCAUCCCUCCUUUGAAGCCACAGUCAAAAGCACUGACAAACAAGUUUGAGAGAGAUAAGGAGAGGCGAGAUAAAAGAUAUAAAGUGACCAAAAAAAAAAAAAGGUAGAUAAUUUGUUCCUUGUCUGUUCUCAAGGAUCACAGGUCUGGUGGCUUGCUGAAUGGGGUACGGAGAGGUAACACAGUACACCUCCCACAUCUGUGGCCUGCAAUGGCCCCAGUGAGCACUGGGCAGCACCCAGGCAGAGAGAAGGGCUUUCUGGAUUUCUCUGGGGAUAGUUACUCUCAGUGUUUCCAAGAAUAAGAAUCCAGCAUGGGAUUCAUCCCACCUUCAUUGCAUUUUGCUUUGCUUUGACAUCUGCCAUGGAGAAUGCAAAA